AUGUAGGUCACUUCACAUAAACAUAAUAUUUUUGUCGAACAAUCUCAUGUAGCUGUCACUAAUGUUGUUACCACAGUCACACACUUGGAUAAGAUGAAUGCUGGUAUGUGCCCAACUAACCUGUUACAUCAAAUCUGUCAAUAUGUCGAAAAAGAAAGCAGACCUUAAGGUCUUUAUAUUAGGAGAAGCUAACGUUGGAAAGACAACAUUGCUGUACAGAUACAUAGAAGGAGUCUUCCAAGAUCAGAUUAGUACAAUAGGAGCAUCAUUUUUCCUGAAACAAUGGGGUAAGCGGCAUGUGUCAUUAUGGGACACUGCUGGGGAAGAAAGGUUUUCUGGCUUGAGUAAUCUCUAUUGCAGGGGAGCAUCUGCUGUUAUUAUGGCAUUUGAUGUAACACGGCCAUCUUCAUUCCAUUCUCUCAGGAGCAGGUUUUUACCACUCGUAGAAUAUGCAAACCAUAACUGCUUAGUGGUAGUGACUGCAACAAAGGUUGACCUUGCAAAAGACACUACACCGAUUAUAACAAUGGCACAGGGUUUAGAAUUCACAAAAACUCUAAACAAAGAACUUCAAUUAACAACAGUGCCAUAUUUUGAAACUUCAAGUAAGACUGGUAAAGAUGUUACAGAAGUGUUUGAAUAUGUUUUCCGUCAUUGUUUUCCUGAUGAAAACUUGCAUAAGAAAACACCACCAGUCCAUAUUAAAUCAAGAUCUAGUACAGUGGACUUAGAGACUCAAAGUAAUGAUGAAGAGACCAUGAAGGUGGGGUGCUGUUGAAUAUUAUUAUGUGCAAUGAUGGAUUCACGAUCGGCUAAGGAUAUUGAAGAACAAGUUACAUGUAGAAUGUAAUUAGUUGCACAGCUAUAUCGACCAAUCACUUUUAUUUAAAAAUACAUAAUUUAAAGUAUGAAAUGGUCUAUAAUUAGUCAGUCUGGUUAAAAAGAUUCAAUAUAAAGUGUGGUCAAAAAGUGAACCUCCGAGAAAGUGUUACGUCAUGUAUGCAUUGUAGCUAUUCACACUAGAUGAUAGAAUUGCUGCUUUGCAGCAUGGGCUCUACCACCCAGAGCCCAUGUUUGUAGGCAUAUCAGUUCUAGUCAAACUUGUACAAUAGUGGCAGGAUGGUGACAUCACCUGAAUUUGUGGACAAUGUGUUCAAUCAGUCUGCGGUUUGCAACAAUUGGAAGAACACAAGUAACAGAGCAACGUCCAUAUUGCAGUUGUCAGUUGUGCGGUUGUGAAAAAUAAAAAGGCUAUA
rnacentral:misc_RNA from 1 species